rnacentral:rRNA from 1 species
UACGUAGGGGGCAAGCGUUGUCCGGAAUCACUGGGCGUAAAGCGCGCGCAGGCGGCGAUCUGCGUCUGGGGUGAAAGCCCGGAGCUCAACUCCGGGACUGCCUUGGAUACGGGGUCGCUUGAGGAUCGGAGAGGCAAGGGGAAUUCCACGUGUAGCGGUGAAAUGCGUAGAUAUCGGAAGGAACACCGGUGGCGAAGGCGGUUCUCUGGGCCUGUACUGACGCUGAGGAGCGAAAGCGUGGGGAGCGAACAGG